GAUGAACGCUGGCGGCGUGCCUAAUACAUGCAAGUCGAGCGAACGGACGAGAAGCUUGCUUCUCUGAUGUUAGCGGCGGACGGGUGAGUAACACGUGGAUAACCUACCUAUAAGACUGGGAUAACUUCGGGAAACCGGAGCUAAUACCGGAGAAUAUUUUGAACCGCAUGGUUCAAAAGUGAAAGACGGUCUUGCUGUCACGUAUAGAUGGAUCCGCGCUGCAUUAGCUAGUUGGUAAGGUAACGGCUUACCAAGGCAACGAUGCGUAGCCGACCUGAGAGGGUGAUCGGCCACACGGGAACUGAGACACGGUCCAGACUCCUACGGGAGGCAGCAGUAGGGAAUCUUACGCAAUGGGCGAAAGCCUGACGGAGCAACGCCGCGUGUGUGAUGAAGGUCUUCGGAUCGUAAAGCUCUGUUAUUAGGGAAGAACAUAUGUGUAAGUAAAUGUGCAGAGCUUGACGGUACCGAAUCAGAAAGCAACGGCUAACUACGUG
rnacentral:rRNA from 1 species